rnacentral:rRNA from 1 species
ACUGGAAUUUCUUGUGUAGGAGUGAAAUCCGUAGAUAUAAGAAGGAACACCGAUGGCGUAGGCAGGUGACUGGACCAUUUCUGACGCUAAGGCACGAAAGCGUGGGGAGCGAACCGGAUUAGAUACCCGGGUAGUCCACGCCGUAAACGAUGGAUACUAGCUGUUGGAGGUAUCGACCCCUUCAGUAGCGAAGCUAACGCGUUAAGUAUCCCGCCUGUGGAGUACGGCCGCAAGGCUAAAACAUAAAGGAAUUGACGGGGACCCGCACAAGCGGUGGAUCGUGUUCUUUAAUUCGAUGCUAAACGAAGAACCUUACCAGGGCUUGACAUCCAGGGAAUUUUUGGGAAACCAAUUAGUGCCUUUUGGAACCCUGUGACAGGUGAUGCAUGGCCGUCGUCAGCUCGUGUCGUGAGAUGUUUGGUUAAGUCCAUCAACGAGCGCAACCCUUGUCAGUAGUUGUAUUUUUCUACUGAGACUGCCCCGGUAACGGGGAGGAAGGAGGGGAUGAUGUCAGGUCAGUAUUUCCCUUACGUCCUGGGCUAGAAACACGAUACAAUGGCUAGUACAAUGCGCAGCGAAGCCGCGAGGUGAAGCAAAUCGCAUCAAAGCUAGUCCCAGUUCGGAUUGGAGGCUGAAACUCGCCUCCAUGAAGUCGGAAUCGCUAGUAAUCGCAAAUCAGCAAGUUGCGGUGAAUACGUUCCCGGGUCUUGUACACACCGCCCGUCAAACCAUGAAAGUGACCAACACCCGAAGUCCGAUUCGUCGGCCUAAGGUGGGGGGCAUGAUUGGGGUUAAGUCGUAACAAGGUAUCCGUACCGGAAGGUGCGGAUG